rnacentral:lncRNA from 1 species
UUUUUCCUACUUAGUAGUUACUCCCACCUACAUGCGUCUGUACAUUCUCUCCUCCCGCACAUACAACGGGCCACAAGUUGAUUAGCGGGUCAAUUGUGUGGAUCCGUUAACCGAUGGACUAAUCAGUCCUAUAUUACUUCUCUCUCCUCCCAUUUAGAUCGGGAAAAAAUUGAUGCCACUGGAUGUCCUCCCCCGUCCCGCGCCGACGGCGCUCCCCCGCACAGAUACGUGCAUCCCUGACCACGACGGAGCCGUGGUCCAGCCCACAUGGCCACGACGGUGACCGGUGAUAUCCUCCCCCAGGCAUGGUUGUGGAUCCAUGGCGGCGGCCUCCCCAUGGAUCUCGUGUGGCGACGGCGGCUUCCUGAUGCGGCGGCGGCGGCCACUUCGAUGGCAUCGCCUGCUUCUCCCAAAGAGUUGAGGGCUGUGAGCAGAUCCAGUCGACCACGGUGAUGGCACAUUCCUCCCCCGGCGGGCGGUGACUAGGUAAUAUCUGGUUUCGCUCAUCCGGUAUGCCUCUGAAUCUUUUCAAUCCCAUUUAACGAUAGUGUACAUGUGCUCUUGCCUGUUGUGAUCCUUGCCGAGUUGUCAUUCAACAAAGUUGAGAGUAGCACGGAUCUCAUACAUUUUUUAUUCAGCGGGCAUGAUGUGCCCGAUGCAAUGGCUAUGUUAAAUCUGCUGUGAUAUUGAACUUGUUGUGCUUUGUUUCGUUUUUGGAUCAGUGUAUCCGGCCACUCUCCAAUUAGCGUAUCCAUCUAUACGCAAUACCUGGAGGCCAUCAUGAAAACAAUCGUGAAGCUGGACUUUAAUCAUUAGGGAAACCAGAGGAUGGUGGACAACAGCAUGACUAGAGCGGCAACCCUGCGUUAUUUUUUCCAGAUGCUGAGAUCAAAGCGUCACUUGUAAUUUUUCAGAUCUAAGUAUCUUUGGAUACCUUUCUUUAGAUUAAAGUAUCACUUUACUUCUGUCAAUAUUGUAACUACACAUGAUACUUUUUUUAGAUAACAGUAGUAUCAAUUUAUACUUUUUUAGGUUAAAGAAUUACAGCUUUUGAUGAUGAGUAUGUACUAAUACUUCCUUAGGUUCUGGUAUAUAGAAGUAAUUUUUGUAAAGAUUGUAUGUACAUAUACUGCAUAAUUAAGAAGUAUGUGUUGAUACUCUUACAUAUGUUUGUAGUUUCCAUUAACAAAAUGUAUAAAUUUAAAAUUCUAGUAUGCACACACUAUUCUUCACUGACUAGAGUAUCAGUUGAUACUUCCAACGAUUAAAAUAAUGGCUUUCCAAUAUACUUUGAUUGUGUGGUUUAAGUCACUUAUACUAUCUAAAUUUGGUGUAUGUAUGCAUACUCAACUCAAAAAGUAUCAAGUAUGUAUAAAAAAUACUAUAUAUUCUACCAAGUAUGUACAGAUACUAAACUCCAAAAAGUAUAUAUAAAUACAAUAUUCUAAAGUAUGUACUACACGUAUACUCCACUAAUAUAUGUUCCUGUACAUAUGUACGAUACUCGCAAAUUGGUAUGUACAUACUACUCGUAGCGUGCAUACACGUGAAAACAAGACAUAUGUGCCACCGUAUUUUCCUUUACUUGAUCCGUGAAACCUGAGUCGAAAAAAAACGUGAAACCUAUAAUCGCGGCAAUAUCACAGCAAAUAUAUUAUCUUAUUGGUUUUAUUAACUAAAUUAAUCUGCUAGUUGCAUGCGCCCCUCCUUGAUUGGAUCCUCCCGAUACCCAUUAACCCAGUACCGCAGCUGGUGGUACUAUGUAUAGGGAGUAACUACUCCCAUG